AUGGAGUCGAAGAGGGUGAACAUUGUUGAUUGUCUAACUGAUGAUAUAUUGGUGGAAAUCCUCUCUCGAGUGCCACCCAAGUCUUUUUGCCGCUUCAAAUGUGUGUGCAAGGCUUGGCUUGCCUUCUCCUCUGAUCCUCUCUACCGUCGGAAGCUGCCAAAAACUUCCACUGGUCUUCUCUACAAACCUCAAUACGGGUCUGCUAUUCAGCUUGUUGGCAUGUCCCCAAAUGAUGAGGAAAUUGAUGGAGCUUUUACAUUCAUCCCUCAGUACGAGCAAUUAGAACUUGUGGACUAUUGCAAUGGCCUGGUACUUUGCCGGUACAAGAGCAGAUAUACUUCUGCAGAAACUUGCCGCUUCAUUGUUUGCAACCCAGCAACACGAGAGUGGAGGACGCUGCCUAUUCUUAAUACUCCAUAUGGCCCAAAUGUCUCCCCCUAUACAGCUUUUUUGGCCUUCGAUCCAUCAUGGUCGGGAAAGUUCUAUGUCUUCAACUUUCAGGAGAAGUUAAAAAACAACUUGCCACUUGUUAUCUACAAACUUGAGGUGUUCUCGUCUGACCUAUGUGAGUGGCUUGUCGAUGAUGCAUGGAGUGGGAACCAUAGGAUAAUGGUCAAUAAACCACACAACUUUAUAGGUGGGGUGUUUCAUGUGCAUAGCAACACUAGUGAGAUUCUUGUGGUUAAAGGCUUGAGUUCUGGCAUAAUGCCAUAUCAUUAUACUAUCAAGCUGCCGGGUGACUGUUGGAAUGGUUGCUUCAGCCAAUCAAUGGGGCUUUUGCAGUGCGCAUUUCCAGAGGAGGGCGGCAGUACAAUUGCAGUUUUCACUCUUGAUGAUUAUCGUCCUUGCAAGUGGUCUCUAAAGCAUCGUUUUUGUAUGGGAGAUGCAUUUGGAAGGGACAACUUCCUUCCCAACCGAGAUUAUCUGUCCUGGUUGUGUUUUUAUCGGAUUGUUGCUCUUGACUUGGAAAGAGGGGUCCUCUUCCUCGUUGACAAGGAGUCAAAUAAGCUUUUCUCAUACAAAACUAGCACAGGGCAACUUAGUGAGAUUAAAGAUGGUCGCCUCGGUUGGACCUGGGAAUGCUUUUAUUACGUGGCAUGCUACUCAAAGCUCCCAGUGCUGAGCCGUUUAUGUGAUGUAAUUGAGUAG
rnacentral:rRNA from 1 species